UACAGAGGUCCCAAGCGUUGUUCGGAUUCACUGGGCGUAAAGGGUGCGUAGGUGGCCAGGUAAGUUCGGUGUGAAAGCUCGGAGCUUAACUCCGAAAUGGCAUUGAAUACUAUCUGGCUAGAGGGUCGGAGGGGAGACUGGAAUUCUCGGUGUAGCAGUGAAAUGCGUAGAUAUCGAGAGGAACACCAGUGGCGAAGGCGAGUCUCUGAACGACACCUGACACUGAGGCACGAAAGCCAGGGGAGCAAACAGG
rnacentral:rRNA from 1 species